UGGAUACGUGAGGGGGAAUGAAGAAUAAACUACAGAGAAAGAAUAUAUGAGAAUUGAGAAGUGAAGAAGAAAUAAAAAAAGUAGAAACCGCAUGAUUCCAUAACAGAGGCAUAUAUUCCAACACCACUAAUUCCGGCAAGGCGGCACAAAUUCCAGUGCGGUGGUUACUGGGAAAAUAUUGCGAUCAUAAAAAAAAAAGAAAAACUGUGUCUUUGGCAUAGGAGAUGAUGGUUAGUCCUUCUAUGGUGGUGGUUUUUCGAAAUAUAGCCUAUGUGGUGUUCAAGAUCUAAAAAAGAAUAUGAUGAAUUAAAAGUGCAAAAUAAAAAAACAAUGGUUUGUUGAUCUAUUUGGCAGAAAACGUAAAGUUUGAUGAGAGGAUUAUAUUGGUGGUGAAGGUGCGGCCAACCAAGACAAAACGGCGGUGAUUCAAGGCCGGCGGCGGCUAGGGUUUGCAAAUAGAAGAGAGAAAGAAAUAGAAGUAACAUCAAUAAUGAAUAGAAAAUUGCUUUUUUGGAAAUGAUGAAAUUACCUCCAAUGGUAGUUAACUGCUGCUCAUUUCCUUGUUUAUAAUCAUCCACUGCUGCUACCUACCACCCCUCUUUCAUAAGUGUUAUUCAACUCUUGGUGGUCAAAAUGAAAUUGAGCAUCUCUUAUGCUAUGUCUCCUGAUUCUAUGGCUAACUUUCUCACCAGUCACCAUUUCUAUUAUAAAUUUAUAUUAUAAAGUUUAAUCAAUUAUUUUUCAUUACCAUCACCGUUAGUAAAACAUAGGCACUUUAUU
rnacentral:lncRNA from 1 species